UACAGAGGGUGCAAGCGUUAAUCGGAAUUACUGGGCGUAAAGCGUGCGUAGACGGUUACAUAAGUCGGGUGUGAAAGCCCCGGGCUCAACCUGGGAAUUGCAUUCGAGACUGCGUAGCUAGGGUGCGGAAGAGGGAAGCGGAAUUUCCGGUGUAGCGGUGAAAUGCGUAGAUAUCGGAAGGAACACCAGUGGCGAAAGCGGCUUCCUGGUCCAGCACCGACGUUGAGGCACGAAAGCGUGGGGAGCAAACAGG
rnacentral:rRNA from 1 species